UAGAGGAAGUAAAAGUCGUAACAAGGUUUCCGUAGGUGAACCUGCGGAAGGAUCAUUACAGAGUUCAUGCCCCCCGGGGUAGACCUCCCACCCUUGAAUACAUACUAUUGUUGCUUUGGCGGGCUGCCGCAAGGCAUCGGCCCUGGCUGACCUGCCCGCCAAAGGACCCCAAUUCUGUAUUAAGUGAUGUCUGAGUACUAUUUUAAUAGUUAAAACUUUCAACAACGGAUCUCUUGGUUCUGGCAUCGAUGAAGAACGCAGCGAAAUGCGAUAAGUAAUGUGAAUUGCAGAAUUCAGUGAAUCAUCGAAUCUUUGAACGCACAUUGCGCCCUUUGGUAUUCCGAAGGGCAUGCCUGUUCGAGCGUCAUUAGUACCAAAUCAAGCUCGGCUUGGUGUUGGAGCUCGCCGUUAGGCGGCUCUUAAACUCAGUGGCAGUGCUGCCGGGCUCUAAGCGUAGUAACUUUCUCGCUAUAGGGUCCCGGGAGACACCCGCCAGAACUCUUAUAUAACUGGUGACCUCGGAUCAGUAG
rnacentral:rRNA from 1 species